rfam:Drosophila ananassae strain TSC#14024-0371.13 Ctg01_19338, whole genome shotgun sequence.
UAUAGUUUUGUGAUGAUAUAGCUAUUUUACCUUGGGACACCUAUGAAAUGCCUUGAUUUGUGUAAAUUUGUUUAACUGAUUAGA